GUCGAGGGGCAGCAUGGUCUUAGCUUGCUAAGGCUGAUGGCGACCGGUGCACGGGUGAGUAACACGUAUCCAACCUGCCGUCUACUCUUGGCCAGCCUUCUGAAAGGAAGAUUAAUCCAGGAUGGGAUCAUGAGUUCACAUGUCCGCAUGAUUAAAGGUAUUUUCUGGUAGACGAUGGGGAUGCGUUCCAUUAGAUAGUAGGCGGGGUAACGGCCCACCUAGUCAACGAUGGAUAGGGGUUCUGAGAGGAAGGUCCCCCACAUUGGAACUGAGACACGGUCCAAACUCCUACGGGAGGCAGCAGUGAGGAAUAUUGGUCAAUGGGCGAUGGCCUGAACCAGCCAAGUAGCGUGAAGGAUGACUGCCCUAUGGGUUGUAAACUUCUUUUAUAAAGGAAUAAAGUCGGGUAUGCAUACCCGUUUGCAUGUACUUUAUGAAUAAGGAUCGGCUAACUCCGUGCCAGCAGCCGCGGUAAUACGGAGGAUCCGAGCGUUAUCCGGAUUUAUUGGGUUUAAAGGGAGCGUAGAUGGAUGUUUAAGUCAGUUGUGAAAGUUUGCGGCUCAACCGUAAAAUUGCAGUUGAUACUGGAUGUCUUGAGUGCAGUUGAGGCAGGCGGAAUUCGUGGUGUAGCGGUGAAAUGCUUAGAUAUCACGAAGAACUCCGAUUGCGAAGGCAGCCUGCUAAGCUGCAACUGACAUUGAGGCUCGAAAGUGUGGGUAUCAAACAGGAUUAGAUACCCUGGUAGUCCACACGGUAAACGAUGAAUACUCGCUGUUUGCGAUAUACGGCAAGCGGCCAAGCGAAAGCGUUAAGUAUUCCACCUGGGGAGUACGCCGGCAACGGUGAAACUCAAAGGGAUUGAC
rnacentral:rRNA from 1 species